rnacentral:rRNA from 1 species
UACGGAGGGGGCUAGCGUUGUCCGGAAUUACUGGGCGUAAAGCGCGUGUAGGCGGAUGAGCAAGUCUGCUGUGAAAGCUCCUGGCUUAACCGGGAGUAGUCGGUGGAAACUGCUCGUCUGGAGGACGGUAGAGGUAGGUAGAAUUCCCGGUGUAGUGGUGAAAUGCGUAGAGAUCGGGAGGAAUACCUGUGGCGAAGGCGGCCUACUGGGCCGGACCUGACGCUGAGACGCGAAGGCGUGGGGAGCGAACGGG